rnacentral:rRNA from 1 species
AUUGAACGCUGGCGGCAGGCCUAACACAUGCAAGUCGAACGUAUAGAGGACGUGUCAGUAAUGUCUGGGAAACUGCCUGAUGGAGGGGGAUAACUACCGGAAACGGUAGCUAAUACCGCAUACCAUCAGAUGUGCCCAGAAGGGAUGAGCUUGUUGGUGGGGUAACGGAUCACAAAGGCGACGAUCCCUAGCUGGUCUGAGAGGCUGACCAGCCACACUGGAACUGAGACACGGUCCAGACUCCUACGGGAGGCAGCAGUGGGGAAUAUUGCACAAUGGGCGAAAGCCUGAUGCAGCCAUGCCGCGUGUAUGAAGAAGGCUUUCGGGUCGUAAAGUACUUUCGGUGGGGAGGCGUUACCCGCAGAGGAAGCACCGGCUAACUCCGUGCCAGCAGCCGCGGUAAUAC